rnacentral:rRNA from 1 species
CAAGAUGAGUGCUCUCUCGAGGUCACGGCAAGAGAAGCCGUUUGAUAGGUGUCAAGUGUAAGACCAGUAAUGGUUUCAGCUGAGACAUACUAAUAGACCGAUUGACUUUGAUCUGUUUUUA